AUAUCAAUAAGCGGAGGAAAAGAAACCAACAGGGAUUGCCUUAGUAACGGCGAGUGAAGCGGCAACAGCUCAAAUUUGAAAUCUGGCUUCAAUUGGGGUCCGAGUUGUAAUUUGUAGAGGGUGUUUCGGGUGAAGGGCCGGCCUAAGCUCCUUGGAACAGGACGUCAUAGAGGGUGAGAAUCCCGUAUGCGGCCGGUGACGAAGCCUAUGUGAAACCCCUUCGACGAGUCGAGUUGUUUGGGAAUGCAGCUCUAAAUGGGAGGUAAAUUUCUUCUAAAGCUAAAUACUGGCCAGAGACCGAUAGCGCACAAGUA
rnacentral:rRNA from 1 species